GGUGGCGGCCAAGGCCAGGGAGGACGAGGUUAGGGAGUACAAGAGUGACGUGUUGAACCCCUCCGCGGAGGAGUUCGUGCCGCUCUCCCGCCGCCAGGGGGACGGUGCACGCCGCCUGUCGGCCGACACGCCCAUCUUCGUCUCGCCCGACUACUAUGCUCCUCCGUCCACCGACUCUGUCCAUGCAGGUGGCCAGUUUCCUUCCGCCCCAACCUUCUCCACUGUCUCCCCAACUGGUACAUGUGUGAUCUUCAUGGAGCUAGCCAUCAUUGGAUUUGGUAAUACAUAAUCACUUAUUCAGAGAGCCCAAGGUGAGAAGGGACGAGCAUCUAGAACACCACCACCUACUAAUCAGAGUUUCCUACCUUUCUUCUGCAAAUCUGGAAUGCCUUUAUGGCAUGAUCAUGUGAAAAAAGUACCUUGAUGCAGUAAUGGAUUUGAUUAUCACUGGUUACUCUGUUUUCACGAAUUACUAUCCAACUGUAUGUAGAUAGUCGAAAAUGUUAUUGUUCAAAUGUACUCGAGCCAGGUUUUCGGUGUUUCAUUGCAACCAAAAGAAUUGGUAAUAUUG